CCUACGGGAGGCAGCAGUGGGGAAUAUUGGACAAUGGGGGCAACCCUGAUCCAGCCAUGCCGUGUGUGUGAAGAAGGCCCUCGGGUUGUAAAGCACUUUCAGUGAGGAAGAACGCCUGGUGGUUAAUACCCAUCAGGAAAGACAUCACUCACAGAAGAAGCACCGGCUAACUCCGUGCCAGCAGCCGCGGUAAUACGGAGGGUGCGAGCGUUAAUCGGAAUUACUGGGCGUAAAGCGCGCGUAGGUGGCUUGAUAAGCCGGUUGUGAAAGCCCCGGGCUCAACCUGGGAACGGCAUCCGGAACUGUCAAGCUAGAGUGCAGGAGAGGAAGGUAGAAUUCCCGGUGUAGCGGUGAAAUGCGUAGAGAUCGGGAGGAAUACCAGUGGCGAAGGCGGCCUUCUGGACUGACACUGACACUGAGGUGCGAAAGCGUGGGUAGCAAACAGGAUUAGAUACCCCUGUAGUC
rnacentral:rRNA from 1 species